AUUGAACGCUGGCGGCAGGCUUAACACAUGCAAGUCGAGCGGGGGAAGGUAGCUUGCUACUGGACCUAGCGGCGGACGGGUGAGUAAUGCUUAGGAAUCUGCCUAUUAGUGGGGGACAACAUCUCGAAAGGGAUGCUAAUACCGCAUACGUCCUACGGGAGAAAGCAGGGGAUCUUCGGACCUUGCGCUAAUAGAUGAGCCUAAGUCGGAUUAGCUAGUUGGUGGGGUAAAGGCCUACCAAGGCGACGAUCUGUAGCGGGUCUGAGAGGAUGAUCCGCCACCCUGGGACUGGGAAACGGGCCAGACUCCUCCGGGAGGCAGCAGUGGGGAAGAUUGGACAAUGGGGGGAACCCUGAUCCAGCCAUGCCGCGUGUGUGAAGAAGGCCUUAUGGUUGUAAAGCACUUUAAGCGAGGAGGAGGCUACUCUAGUUAAUACCUAGGGAUAGUGGACGUUACUCGCAGAAUAAGCACCGGCUAACUCUGUGCCAGCCGCCGCAGUAA
rnacentral:rRNA from 1 species